rnacentral:miRNA from 1 species
UCACGUCUGGGCCGCGAUGGUU